GCCGGCUUGGAGCAGUGGAAGCUCGCUGGCCUCCGAUUGGAGUCAUCCGACAUUCCAAAUCAUCGAAAGCCAGAGGUCGCCGGUUCGAAUCCGGCAGUCGGUG